rnacentral:rRNA from 1 species
UACGUAGGGUGCAAGCGUUAAUCGGAAUUACUGGGCGUAAAGCGUGCGCAGGCGGCUUUGCAAGACAGAUGUGAAAUCCCCGGGCUUAACCUGGGAACUGCAUUUGUGACUGCAUGGCUAGAGUGCGGCAGAGGGGGAUGGAAUUCCGCGUGUAGCAGUGAAAUGCGUAGAUAUGCGGAGGAACACCGAUGGCGAAGGCAAUCCCCUGGACCUGCACUGACGCUCAUGCACGAAAGCGUGGGGAGCAAACAGG